GACGAACCGAGCGAACGUUGUUCGGAAUCACUGGGCUUAAAGGGCGCGUAGGCGGCUUGUCAAGUCGGUGGUGAAAUCCUGCAGCUUAACUGUAGAAGUGCCUCCGAUACUGGCGAGCUCGAGGGAGGUAGGGGUCUUUGGAACUUCUGGUGGAGCGGUGAAAUGCGUUGAUAUCAGAAGGAACGCCGGUGGCGAAAGCGAAGGACUGGACCUCUUCUAACGCUGAGGCGCGAAAGCUAGGGGAGCAAACGGG
rnacentral:rRNA from 1 species